rnacentral:rRNA from 1 species
AUUGAACGCUGGCGGCAGGCCUAACACAUGCAAGUCGAACGAGUGGCGGACGGGUGAGUAAUGUAUGGGAAUCUGCCUGAUGGAGGGGGAUAACUACUGGAAACGGUGGCUAAUACCGCAUACCAUCGGAUGUGCCCAUAUGGGAUUAGCUUGUUGGUGGGGUAAAGGCUCACCAAGGCGACGAUCGCUAGCUGGUCUGAGAGGAUGACCAGCCACACUGGAACUGAGACACGGUCCAGACUCCUACGGGAGGCAGCAGUGGGGAAUAUUGCACAAUGGGCGCAAGCCUGAUGCAGCCAUGCCGCGUGUAUGAAGAAGGCCUUAGGGUUGUAAAGUACUUUCAGCGGGGAGGCGUUACCCGCAGAAGAAGCACCGGCUAACUCCGUGCCAGCAGCCGCGGUAAUAC